UCCCUGGUAGCUCAGAUGGUAAAGCGUCUGCCUACAAUGCAGGACACCCGGGUUCAAUCCCUGGGUCGGGAA
rfam:TPA: Bos taurus chromosome 14, whole genome shotgun sequence.